GGCUGGUCCAAAUGCAGUGGUUACAACUAACUGAUCACAACCAGUUACAGAUUUCUUUGUUUCUUCUCCACUCCUACUGCUUCACUGGACUAGCCUGGG
ensembl:misc_RNA Y_RNA Y RNA